ensembl:lncRNA ST3GAL5-AS1 ST3GAL5 antisense RNA 1 (head to head)
AGGAAGGAAACAAAGCUUAAGGCAGUGAUUGAUAGGUUAUUUCUUGGACACAGCUGAACGUAUACUGUGCGCCUGCAACUUUCCGGUGGUUUCGGACCGGACUUCAGUGAAGCCAGUGAAGUCGGUCGACUUGCAGAACUUCCUUUCAGAGGGGCGUACACAGCACCGCGGCCGUGUGCCUGUGAUCUCCUUCUGAGUUUGAAAAAGAAGAUCCUAGACACCGAGCCAAAUAUGUUUGCAUAAACCGGGAGACUUGUGGCUCUAUUUUGUAACAGCUUGGCGCAGGGCAGCUGGUUUGGAGAUGUCUCUGUUCUUCCCUUGGUGGGGGUGCCGGAAAAAAUGUGCUGCCUGGGCGAUCGAGGUUGGGGCAAAAGCGUUGCAAAGGAAAAGGUGGGAGGACUCUACUUUCACAUUUCCCAAAAGAGUUUUACCAUAAGACUAUUUCUGGAUUGUUCUAACGUGAGGAUAUUGGGAGCAUUUUGAAAAUACUGGAGGAAAAGCUGUCACUGGGCGAUUUAAAUCCGAUUCCCCUUGUCGGCAAAGCCAGGCGCUGAUAGCGUUAUGGCUGCCAUGAGAGUCAGCAGUAUCCCAGCUUCCAAGGAUGGGUGUAAGGUGGGGGUGAGGAAGAAAAGGAACUUGAAGCUGCCUCCUGUCCCAGAAUCACAAGACAUCUGUUAAGCCCUUACUACCUCAUUCACUCCACUCACAUUAGGUUGACCCACUUGGGCAGCAAGACAAGCAGGCCUGCAAACUUCCUUUUCUUCAUCAGCCACAGAGACAUCC